AACGGGGGGAGCUAGUGUUAUUCAUCUUGACUGGGCGUAAAGGGUGUGUAGGCUGUUUUUAAGAGGUUAAAUUAAAGAAUCUAAACACAAUUUAGAAAUUAAUUUUUCAGAUGAAGAACUAGAGGGCAAAGGGGGUUUGUUGUAUUUUCAAUGGAGAAGUAAAAUUCUAAGAUAUUGAGAGGACGUCCUAACGGCGGAAGCUACAAACCAAAAUGUUUCUGACGCUGAGGCACGAAAGCAUGGGGAUCAAAUGGG
rnacentral:rRNA from 1 species